UUCCAAUCCCCUGAAAGAAGAGCCCCGAGUUCUCAGGACUUUAACCCUUUCCUGCCAGGACCCUCAGGGCCAGUGCUGAGGCUGACAAGUUGCCUAAAAGGACAGGAGGACUUACUCCAGUCCUGCAUCUGCCACUUGAACUAUCACAACAGGCUUCUGCCUUCUCAGUGGGAUUACGAGUGACACAGCAGAGUAGGCAGCAGGAUGUGGUGACAAAAACACACCUCUGGCCCUAAAGCUUGUGUUACCUCCUGGCUGCCAUUCACUAGCUAUGUGAGUUUAGGAAAGUCGUUUCACCUCUGAGCCGCAGAUUCCUCAUCUGUAAAAUGAAGACAAGAACACCUCUCCCUAAUAUUAGGGUAUUUAGAUUCUUUCUACUUUUUUACUUUCUUUUACCAUAUUCUUGGCAUUUUGUGUUUAACUUCAAGGUUCUGACCAAUGAAUGAUCCCAGGAGUGUUCAUGAAAACCCCUGGGGGAAGCUUUUACAAAAUAAAGAUCGAAGUCUGUGAGCUGGAA